GAAUGCUCUGAAGUUCUUACAAUGGGGGUGCAAGAAUGGUGAAAGAGGGAGAGCUAGAGCUAAGAGAUGGGAUGCCUAAAAGGAAGCUUUAGGAGCUAGCCCUACUAUAGUGUGAAUGAGAAUGAGAAUGAAGAUGAAUGUGAAGAUGUUGAUGAAGAUGUCUGUGGAUGGGUGCCCUAGCCUGCUUAUAUAGUGUUUGGGACAAAGGCACGUACAAAGAAGAAGGUUCUCUUGACUGUGUGUUCAUGAGCUUG
rnacentral:lncRNA from 1 species